GACGAACGCUGGCGGCGUGCUUAACACAUGCAAGUCGUACGGUAAGGCCCUUUCGGGGGUACACGAGUGGCGAACGGGUGAGUAACACGUGAGUAACCUGCCCACAACUUUGGGAUAACGCUAGGAAACUGGUGCUAAUACUGGAUAUGUGCUCCUGCUGCAUGGUGGGGGUUGGAAAGCUCCGGCGGUUGUGGAUGGGCUCGCGGCCUAUCAGCUUGUUGGUGGGGUAGUGGCCUACCAAGGCGGCGACGGGUAGCCGGCCUGAGAGGGUGACCGGCCACAUUCGGACUGAGACUCGGCCCAGACUCCUACGGGUGGCAGCAGUGGGGAAUAUUGCACAAUGGGCGCAAGCCUGAUGCAGCAACGCCGCGUGCGGGAUGACGGCCUUCGGGUUGUAAUCCGCUUUCAGCAGGGACGAAGCUUUUUGUGACGGUACCUGCAGAAGAAGCACCGGCUAACUACGUG
rnacentral:rRNA from 1 species